rnacentral:rRNA from 1 species
UACGGAGGGGGCUAGCGUUGUUCGGAAUUACUGGGCGUAAAGCGCGCGUAGGCGGCUUUGUAAGUCAGAGGUGAAAGCCUGGAGCUCAACUCCAGAACUGCCUUUGAAACUACAUCGCUAGACUCAUGGAGAGGUUAGUGGAAUUCCGAGUGUAGAGGUGAAAUUCGUAGAUAUUCGGAAGAACACCAGUGGCGAAGGCGACUAACUGGACAUGUAUUGACGCUGAGGUGCGAAAGCGUGGGGAGCAAACAGG